rnacentral:lncRNA from 1 species
UUAAUGUAUUUUGGUUCUUUUUCUUUUUUUCCCAGCAUGUCCUUACUCUGGCACUGCAAAAUGCUCCAGACUCAUGUGUAUUUCUUGCUCCACCAUAGAAUCAGCCAUUUCUACAAAUGUCGCUGGUUUCUUUUAUGGAGAAUGACAUUGGAAACCAAGAUCUGGCUACUAAGUGUGUUCUUUGCUACCGGGUUGUCAUUUCCCUUAAGGCUUCCAAGCUGACAGAGCACACGAGUAUAUGACACAUCUGAUUUUUUAUUUGACUGUGGAACUCUGUAUCUAUAUGCACUUGCAAUUCUUAACAAGUAAAAAUACAUCAAAGAUAUCAACAACCACAGACAUAUACACCUGACAAGAACCACUGUAUAUUCUAGUACAUCAUUUAUUUGACCAAACAAAUACAUGGCAUCUGGCAAGCCUCCAUAACUUCUGUUGAGAAAUCGGCCUUAAUCUUAUUGAUGAUGACUUUCACGUGAUCCUCAGAUAACUGCCUCUAGAUCCCAGAUGAGCACCAGUUGCAGCAGUCAAACGUCAUCUAUCUGUAUAUCAAGAUAAAUUAUGAAAGGAUUAUAUACCACCUGUCUAAAUGACAAAGAGAAGAAAGGU